rnacentral:rRNA from 1 species
GACGAACGCUGGUGGCGUGCUUAACACAUGCAAGUCGAACGGAAAGGCCCUGCUUUUGUGGGGUGCUCGAGUGGCGAACGGGUGAGUAACACGUGAGUAACCUGCCCUUGACUUUGGGAUAACUUCAGGAAACUGGGGCUAAUACCGGAUAGGAGCUCCUGCUGCAUGGUGGGGGUUGGAAAGUUUCGGCGGUUGGGGAUGGACUCGCGGCUUAUCAGCUUGUUGGUGGGGUAGUGGCUUACCAAGGCUUUGACGGGUAGCCGGCCUGAGAGGGUGACCGGCCACAUUGGGACUGAGAUACGGCCCAGACUCCUACGGGAGGCAGCAGUGGGGAAUAUUGCACAAUGGGCGGGAGCCUGAUGCAGCAACGCCGCGUGCGGGAUGACGGCCUUCGGGUUGUAAACCGCUUUCGCCUGUGACGAAGCGUGAGUGACGGUAAUGGGUAAAGAAGCACCGGCUAACUACGUG